rnacentral:rRNA from 1 species
UACGGAGGGUGCGAGCGUUAAUCGGAAUUAUUGGGCGUAAAGGGUGCGUAGGCGGUUUGACAAGUCUGAUGUGAAAUCUAUGGGCUCAACCCAUAGUCUGCAUUAGAAACUGUCGGGCUUGAGUAUGGGAGAGGUGAGUGGAAUUUCCGGUGUAGCGGUGAAAUGCGUAGAUAUCGGAAGGAACACCUGUGGCGAAAGCGGCUCACUGGACCAUUACUGACGCUGAUGCACGAAAGCUAGGGGAGCAAACAGG